rnacentral:rRNA from 1 species
UACGUAGGGGGCAAGCGUUGUCCGGAUUCAUUGGGCGUAAAGAGCGUGUAGGCGGCCAGGUAGGUCGGUUGUGAAAACUGGAGGCUCAACCUUCAGACGUCGACCGAAACCAUCUGGCUAGAGUCCGGGAGAGGAGAGUGGAAUUCCUGGUGUAGCGGUGAAAUGCGCAGAUAUCAGGAAGAACACCCGUGGCGAAAGCGGCUCUCUGGAACGGUACUGACGCUGAGACGCGAAAACGUGGGGAGCGAACAGG